AGAGUUUGAUCAUGGCUCAGAUUGAACGCCGGAGGAGGGCUUAACACAUGCAAGUCGAUCGGUAACAGGUGUAUCAAUACAUGCUGACGAGAGGCGGACGGGUGAGGAAUGUUUGGGAAUCUGCCCAUCAGCGGGGGACAACCCGGGGAAACCCGGGCUAAUACCGCAUACGCUCUACGGAGGAAAGCCGGGGACCGCAAGGCCUGGCACUGAUGGAUGAGCCCAAAUCGGAUUAGCUAGUUGGCGGGGUAACGGCCCACCAAGGCGACGAUCCGUAGCUGGUCUGAGAGGACGAUCAGCCACACCGGAACUGAGACACGGUCCGGACUCCUACGGGAGGCAGCAGUGGGGAAUAUUGGACAAUGGGGGAAACCCUGAUCCAGCGACGCCGCGUGGGUGAAGAAGGCCUGCGGGUUGUAAAGCCCUUUCGGUAGGGACGAAAGCUCUUGCUCUAACAAAGCAGGAGGUUGACUUAACCUACAUAAGAAGCACCGGCUAACUCUGUGCCAGCAGCCGCGGUAAUACAGAGGGUGCGAGCGUUAAUCGGAAUUACUGGGCGUAAAGCGCACGUAGUCGGCUUGCCAAGUCGGGUGUGAAAUCCCCGGGCUCAACCUGGGAACUGCAUCCGAAACUGGCUUGCUAGAGUAUGGGAGAGGGAGGCGGGAAUUUCUGGUGUAGCAGUGAAAUGCGUAGAUAUCAG
rnacentral:rRNA from 1 species